rnacentral:rRNA from 1 species
GGGACAAGAAGACCCUGUAAAUCUUUAUAUAUUAAAUUAUAAUAUGUAGUAUUAUUUAAUAUAUUUGGUUGGGGUGACAAAAAAAGAUUAAGAAUCUUUAUUUUGAUCCAAUAGGUUUUGAUUAUAUGAAAAAGAUACUUUAGGGAUAACAGCGUAAUUAUUUUGGAUAGUUCAUAUAGAUAAAAUAGUUUGCGACCUCGAUGUUG